UACGUAGGGUCCGAGCGUUGUCCGGAAUUACUGGGCGUAAAGAGCUCGUAGGUGGUUUGUCGCGUUGUUCGUGAAAACUCACAGCUCAACUGUGGGCGUGCGGGCGAUACGGGCAGACUAGAGUACUGCAGGGGAGACCGGAAUUCCUGGUGUAGCGGUGGAAUGCGCAGAUAUCAGGAGGAACACCGGUGGCGAAGGCGGGUCUCUGGGCAGUAACUGACGCUGAGACGCGAAAGCGUGGGGAGCAAACAGG
rnacentral:rRNA from 1 species